rnacentral:lncRNA from 1 species
AAUUAUUGGUGAGAAAAAAAAUAGUUAGGAAUUUGAAUUCGAAUCUGACUAACAAUCACAAAACUUAUUUCCGAACUCGACAGAUUUCAAAAAUCUAUAUCCAAAUUCAAAACUGACCAAUUUUCCGAAACCCAAAACCAAACAUAAACCAGAAGACUAGAAUUCAAACAAUUAUUUCUAUUUACCAUAUUUCAAAGUAUUUAUAUGAAACUUAAAUUUUUAAAAUAUAAAUUUGAAUAUAAUAUUAAAUUUUAAAUUUAAAAGUGAAAUUUAAAUUAGAGGAAUUUCAUAUUACUAUUUAAAGUUUAAAUUUAAUGAUUAUAUUGUUAAAUUAUUUGAAAAUUUUCUUAUAUGAAAUGCCAAAUUAUGAAAGGAAAGAUAGAGAGAGUAAAAGGAAACAAAGAAAAAAUAAAAAUUUUAAAAAUAUAGUAAAUAUAAAAUGACUAAAUUGCCCAUGUAUUAAAAGACAAAAAUAUUCUUUUUUGAGGUACCUGGUAACCGGUACCUCUCCUAAAGUGACCUGCUAUUGCAGGUCACAAUUUAAAAAAAACUAAAUCCGAGCCGUUGAAUACACGUGAAUGAACGGUAACAAAAAAAAAAAAGUAUAGAAGCAUUACUCAAUUAUAAUUACGUCAAAUCAAAUGACCCCUAAUAUGCUAUGAAAUCAAAGUUUUUUGUAACUAUGUUUUGUUGGCUUAAAGAGCCAGCAUCCUAUCCUGUGGUGAAGAUCAAGGUGGGUCGAGUCAUAAUUAAAGUCUGUGAGCUGUGUGGUGGAGGCCGGGGCGAGCCAAGUCACAAUCGAGACUUGCUUUGUAUCUAUAUGUUUUAAGUGAAUGAAUUAUAUAUUUCUAACAACUCGAACUUUUGAAAUUAACGGUUAGCACCAACGAUCCUACAUAGUUCACUUAAAUUUAUAGAUGUAAAUGUUAUAUGAUU